UUGAAUAAAUCUGGCGUGGUUGUAGCUGACUCUCAGGAGUAUGUGCACACCCGUCACCUUUAUAUUUCCACCUGUGCACACACUGUAGUCCUGGAUACCUCUCGCCGAAAGGCGGACGCGGAGGCUGCUGUGCCCGCAAGGGCCAGCUUCCUCUGAAUUUCCAGGUCUAUGAUUUUUUUAAUACACCCCAAACGAAUGUCUUAGAAUGUCUUUACAAGGCCUUGUGCCUAUAAACCUAUA
rnacentral:misc_RNA from 1 species